AGAGCCAAACGGGCUGCGGAAACCAGUUCCUCGAGCCUCCCUCUGGUCCUAUUCUUUGUCAGAUUGUAACAGGAAAAGCCAAGCCCCUUCCGAUUGGGCUACUUUCAGGGUUUGUCUUCGCUCUUAGCUGGUCGUUAGGUGGCGUUUAGGUAGUGGUCAGUUUCUGUUUCCGGUUACAGCGCUGAGGCCAUUUCCGCAGCCAAGGAUGUAUUAGAAUGGGGUUCAGUUUUCGAAUUUUCAAGUGGGCUAUAAGUAUAAGACGGUGCGAAAUUAGUGCCUACUAUAGUAGAAAUUAGGGAUAAUUAGAAUUUAGGUUUGUUCCUAAUUGUAUACCGUAGACAAAACCACUUUGGGAGGAGGGGGUGAGGAGUGAGACCGGGUUUCUCCGUGUAGUCCUGGAGGUCCGGGAACUCGCUCUGUAGACCAGGCUGCCUCCCGAGUGCGGGGAUUAAAGGCUUGCGCCAUCACCGCCCUGUCAUAAAACCUCUUUUUGAGGUGUCAGUGGCUCUUUAUUUUCUAAGAAGCAGUUCAGUCUAUUUAAGGUUGCCCUUGUAGACCCUACCUCAUUAGCUUUUUAUAUGUUAACCUUCGUCUAGCUCCGGCCGCUUCUUGUUCCCCUCUGCUCAGAUAUCUGAGCUAGCCUCUUUCCUCAGUCCCAACAGCCUGCAUAUCGCCUUAGUAUUCCUAUUUACUCUCUGGGUCUUUUGACUUGCUCGGUGUAUGUUAGAAGCUGUUCUAGGCCCUUUAGGCUCUCUAUGACAAGGUUACAGUUAGCUUUGUCAUUCGUAGUGGCAUGCUUAGGAGGAAGAAGGAUCUCUGUAAAUUGGAAGCCUCCGUGAGACCCUGUCGCAAAUUACAUUAAAAAAAAAAAAAAAGUUACUCCCUUGUGUUAGAACCUAGACCAAACUCAUCCGCAACUAUGUCUCUCUUCCCUAGCAGCUGCUCCUGGGUACCAGCCCCAAGCUAACGAACUCUAAGUUAUCGGGAGCUACCCCUGCAUGAUGAAGUCACACUAACUAAACGGGGUUUCUCCUUCCAACCUCUUCACAUCGAGAUCACACAUUACCCUCAACCCCCUCUCCCUCCCCAGC
rnacentral:lncRNA from 1 species